rnacentral:pre_miRNA from 1 species
GGAAAUUAAGAAACUGUUUAUUAACUUUUAACUAAAAAAAUUAAGAACUGGUUUUAAAUAAAGAUUUUAAGAACCGGUUUUUAGUUUUUUUAGUUAAAAAUUAAGAAAUAGUUUCUUAACUUCC